rnacentral:rRNA from 1 species
AUUGAACGCUGGCGGCAUGCCUUACACAUGCAAGUCGAACGGCAGCACGGGUGCUUGCACCUGGUGGCGAGUGGCGAACGGGUGAGUAAUAUAUCGGAACGUACCUUAUUGUGGGGGAUAACGCAGCGAAAGCUGUGCUAAUACCGCAUAAUCCCUAAGGGGGAAAGCGGGGGACCGUAAGGCCUCGCGCAAUUAGAGCGGCCGAUACCUGAUUAGCUAGUUGGUGAGGUAAAGGCUCACCAAGGCAACGAUCAGUAGCUGGUCUGAGAGGACGAUCAGCCACACUGGGACGGGGACACGGCCCAGACUCCUACGGGAGGCAGCAGUGGGGAAUUUUGGACAAUGGGGGCAACCCUGAUCCAGCAAUGCCGCGUGAGUGAAGAAGGCCUUCGGGUUGUAAAGCUCUUUUGUCAGGGAAGAAACAGCAGCUCUAACACAGUAUGCGAAUGACGGUACCUGAAGAAUAAGCACCGGCUAACUACGUGCCAGCAGCCGCCGUAA